UCCUCCAAACUGGUCUCUAAUAAAAGGUGGCUUUUCUUCUAGAUACAAAUGAAAAGCAGCUGUCACCAUGAGGCAGUCACGCUGCCUACUGGCUUCCUUGGGCUCUGUCUCCCGGGUUGCCCGCUGCCUUCUGGAGUGCUCAGGGCACCCAGUGGACCUGCAGCACCGUGAUCGUGGACAGCUCACUCAAGCUGUCUGUGCCCCAGGAUGCACAGACCUCACAAGGGACUUGUAAGGUCACGGUUUCCAACUCUUUUAACUGUUCCUCUGACACAUCCUGUGCUGAACUGAUUGACUGGUCAAAGCAUCACGCCAGGAACUUGUCGCCCUGUUAUAGGCCUUGGCCAGUGCUGGACCAGAACAGGCCAGUGGUGCACGUUGGCUGCACAUAUGGACAACAGCGAAAGAAGCCUGCGGUCAAGGUCCAGGACACGGGGGCCACCACUCACAAGUUGUUCACGUCACUCUCUCCAGCCUCGUCCAGCUGCCGGUCACUCAUCUGAAGGUUGCCUGGGAACCUGGGAUUCUGGAGAGGAGGUGGAGGG